UACGGAGGAUCCAAGCGUUAUCCGGAUUUAUUGGGUUUAAAGGGUGCGUAGGCGGAUUGAUAAGUUAGAGGUGAAAUGUCCGAGCUCAACUCGGGAACUGCCUCUAAUACUGUUGAUCUAGAGAGUAGAUGCGGUAGGCGGAAUGUAUGGUGUGGCGGUGAAAUGCUUAGAGAUCAUACAGAACACCGAUUGCGAAGACAGCUUACCAAUCUAUAUCUGACGUUGAGGCACGAAAGCGUGGGGAGCAAACAGG
rnacentral:rRNA from 1 species